rnacentral:rRNA from 1 species
AGAGAGAGACAUGCGCGCAUAUCAAUAAGCGGAGGAAAAGAAACUAACUAGGAUUCCCUUAGUAACGGCGAGUGAAGCGGGAAGAGCUCAAAUUUGAAAUCUUCAAGGUUCUACCUUGACGAAUUGUAGUUUAUAGAAGUGUUUUCUGUUAGUGGAGUGGCAAAAGUUCUUUGGAAUAGGACAUCAUAGAGGGUGAGAAUCCCGUAUUUGGUCAUUCCUCCUAGCGUUGUGAUACACUUUCAACGAGUCGGAUUGUUUGGGAAUGCAGUCCAAAAUGGGUGGUAAAUUUCAUCUAAAGCUAAAUAUUGGCGAGAGACCGAUAGCGAACAAGUACCGUGAGGGAAAGAUGAAAAGAACUUUGAAAAGAGAGUUAAACAGUACGUGAAAUUGUCAAAAGGGAAGCGUUUGACACCAGUGUUGUUUUCUCGAAAAAUCAAUUACGAAGUGUUUAGGAUUUUGAGGAGUUAUGACUUCAUCAGCUUAGGCUCCUUUCUUUACUACUUUCUUAAUGCACUUUUCGGUUAACAAGUCAACAUCAAUUUCUUUUGUUGUAAAAGGGUAUGAGGAAGGUGGCUUUCUUUUCGGAGAAAGUGUUUAUAGCCUUGUGCCUCUGCAAUCGGAGAGAUUGAGGUCUGCAGCGUAGAUCCUUCGGGGUUAGAUACGUUUGUGCUAGUUAUAGCUUUUCAUAGACAACUUGUUAACUAUGUUUAGUCUUGUAGCUUACUCGCUGACGCUAUGUUACCUACGCUUAGGAUGUUGAUAGUCACAGCGUGUAC